GGGCCCAUAGCUCAGCGGUAGAGCAGGGGACUCAUAAUCCCUUGGUCGGUGGUUCGAAUCCACCUGGGCCCA
rnacentral:tRNA from 1 species